rnacentral:rRNA from 1 species
AUUGAACGCUGGCGGCAGGCCUAACACAUGCAAGUCGAACGAGUGGCGGACGGGUGAGUAAUGUCUGUGACACUGCCUGAUUGAGGGGGAUAACUACUGGAAACGGUAGCUAAUACUGCAUACCAUCAAAUGUGCCCAGAUGGGAUUAGCUUGUUGGUGGGGUAACGGCUGACCAAGGCGACGAUCCCUAGCUGGUCUGAGAGGAUGACCAGCCACACUGGAACUGAGACACGGCCCAGACCCCUCCGGGAGGCAGCAGUGGAGAAUAGUGCACAAGGGGCGCAAGCCUGAUGCAGCCCUGCCGCGUGUAUGAAGAAGGCCUUCGGGUUGUAAAGUACUUUCAGCGGGGAGGCGUUACCCGCAGAAGAAGCACCGGCUAACUCCGUGCCAGCAGCCGCGGUAAUAC